UGGGGAAUAUUGGACAAUGGGGGAAACCCUGAUCCAGCGACGCCGCGUGUGUGAAGAAGGCCUGCGGGUUGUAAAGCACUUUCGGUGGGAACGAAAUGUGCCGGGCUAAUACCCCGGUAAGCUGACGUUACUCAAUGAAGAAGCACCGGCUAACUCUGUGCCAGCAGCCGCGGUAAUACAGAGGGUGCGAGCGUUAAUCGGAAUUACUGGGCGUAAAGCGCACGUAGGUGGCGACGUAAGUCGGGUGUGAAAGCCCCGGGCUCAACCUGGGAACGGCAUCCGGAACUGUCAAGCUAGAGUGCAGGAGAGGAAGGUAGAAUUCCCGGUGUAGCGGUGAAAUGCGUAGAGAUCGGGAGGAAUACCAGUGGCGAAGGCGGCCUUCUGGACUGACACUGACACUGAGGUGCGAAAGCGUGGGUAGCAAACGGGAUUAGAUACCCGCGUAGUCCCUGAGCGGGCUGGCAAGGCGCAU
rnacentral:rRNA from 1 species